AGAGAGAGAAAGGAGCGCGUGUUUGCCAGGUAUUGUGCUAAGUCCAGCGGAAAACGCGUGGAAUCGGUGUGCAACCUUUAUGGGGCAGGAAAGUAAGUAUGGGGCAGUUAGAUUCGAUAAACAUCGAGCGGAGAACGAGAAUACAAACGUUUUCCCGUCGGCGGUUACGUUCCGCCGCCGGUGCUCGUGCUUCAAAGGAAGUUAUUCGAGUCGCGCUAAAAGGACACGCAGUCUCGCGUACAAUACGAGAAAAAAAUAUAACCGCGGGGAAAAAUGCGGUCAACGAGUAUUGUCGAACGAAAAACUCAGGUAAACAGUCGGGUAUGGUGUUCAAGGCGAAAAGAAAAAUCGCUUUUAGCGUACGCAAUAGCGCGCCUCUUUUUCUUUCCCUUAUUUUUUAGAUUAAAAGAUGUUGGUCGUUUGAACGAGAGAAAUACAGGGGCGACACUCGCUAAUUGAAAUACCGACUGGGUAAUCGGCGGAUUCGUCGUUUAUAUUGGAUGGCACUUCGACCGCUAUCGAACGGUAUCCAUAAGCGUGGAAUUACGGCGUUGUAUUUCUCCGGAACUGGCUUUGCACACGUCCUUUCGCCAGAUGCCGUCUUCCCGAUAUCGUCUUCCCUUUGACCGGAGUUAUUACUUAUACCACGAGGGUAUCGGCGGUUUAUUUUGUCGACGACGUAAGAGACGUCGGCGGCUGAGGUGAGCAAAAGGAACGACGAAAAGAGAGUAGUAGCAGUGCAAAGAGUGAAAGAGACAAGCCAAGUGAAAGAGUAAGAGAGUGAAAGAGGAACGGAUGGAAGGGAGGGCGAAGGAUCUCUCCGCAGAUUAGAGCGCGAAUCAAUAUUGGGCAGCGAGGCGAGGCUUUUAUCGGCGCUGAAAGAAAUCCCCUCGCUUCCUUCUUCGAGUGGGCACCGACUUGGAAUGGAAACCAGUGGUAGAGAACCGGGCAAGGAAAAACGAAGGAGACGGAACGAGAGUAUGGAUAGAGAGAUACGCGUAUAUAGGAGAGUAGUUCGGGGGACGGAGAUGGAAAAAAGAGACAGAAUUGAGAGUGACGGAAAGAGACACGAAAGAUGAAGAGGGGAGCGACGAUGGAGACGAAGGAUAAGCACGAAGGGUAUGAGGAGAACUGAAGAGCCCAUGGAAGGAGGAACUCAGCGGAGAAAGGGAGAAGUAAGAGGACGAGGAUUCCGUUCGAGCAACUUACCGGACUUCUACGUUCUCUCCACGGUCGAGGAUUUACAGAUUACGCGCUGGUAGACCGAGCUCCUGAGUGCGACCGAGAGAGAAACCUAUCGAGAGUGGCGACGCGCGAACGAGCAAGGGAGAGAACGCGAGAAUCGGCACGAGCGAGAAGGAUGGUAUAAAGGAAUGACACGGAGAGGGAGUCAAGGACCAUUCGGCGCGAUGAGUGCGACGAAAACGGAGCUAUCGAGUCCGCGCGGACUCGAACGGGUGCCGGUGACUCGACCAAUCAGAGACUAGCGUUCUGGCCAGUCGACCAAUCCGUUGGCGCUGCGAGCAUUACACGUUUAUUAUCACGCGGGAAAAAGAAAUGACUGUUUAUAAAUAAUUAGAGAGGUUUUAAUUAACCCUCGGGACGCUCUCGGACCGCCGGUAUCCAUCGCUGUUUUAAUCGCUCGGUCGGUUUUACCAUGGACGACGACACCGCCUCCGCCACCGCCAGCACCACCACCGUCUGUUCAAUCUAUCCCUACUCAUAACGAAACCGCGUUAUAUUUGUAAAACUAAACCAUCGAUCGGCAUCGGUCAUUAAAGGCAACCCUUGUUCUCGUUUUCUUCGCUGCCAGACGUCUUGUGUCAAGGUGUCUGAUGUAUAUGUAUGCGUAUAUAUGUGUAUACUUGCAACGGUAUAGAGUAUAUUUACCUACACGAUUUUAUCUUUUCCCACUUUCUUUUUUCUUUCCUCGAUGACAAGAAUAUUUUGCUUUUUUCCUUUCUUUUCGGUAUCUGCGCGGCACACGUCGAAACGAAACAUGGGAGCGUAUGCUAUAUUAUUAGAAAAUGUUGUGUUCUGGUCCCCUCUGAGUGUAUACGUCGACUCGUGAAUUCGUAUGCACUAUUUUCUCGUCAAAAAUUCAUCUGACCGUUUUUGACUGCAUCACGUUAUCCAACAGGCAAUUGCUUUCCGAUGGAUAGAAUCGCGGCCUCUAAAAUCUUUCCAAAAGGCCUCCAAUGGCGUGGACACGACAAAAGGGAAAUCAAAGCAUCGUCGAAGAGUUUUUACGAUCGAACGCCCCGCUUUCGUGGCGAGGGGUUCUUCAGUUUAGCUUCCUCGCUACUUUUGGCUGCCACCGGCUUCGUCUCGAAUAUUUUAUUCUCCUCUCUCGUUCACCGUAUCUUUUCCACGCUGGAUAAAAGAUGCUCCGUAAGAUCCUUCUUCGGUUGGUUGGCCACGUUCGUGCAAAUUCACAUAUACACAUACACAUAGCGCUUACCAUACACACAGCGCUUAGCAUACACACACACACACACACACACACACAUACACACAACGCGUGCACAUACACAGAGAAUAAACUUUCGCACCUUCUUCUCUAUGAGUAAGAUUUAUCGGGAAGAAAGUUGCCACGACAAAGGGGUAAAUGACUUUCAAAUAUCUCAGCUUUUCGAACGCGUCAGCUGUGAGUCAGAAUUUCGAGUGUGAGGGCGCUGCGAGCGACGCCAACGAUAGUUCCAACGAUGUUCAUAGAGCUUGUCCUAUUUCGAAACGAGUCUUCCUAAUCUGAGAAGAGUGGUUUCAAAGAGAAGGAGAGGUCGAGAUUUUCAUUCGAAAAGCAUCACGUAAUCCACACACGGUCUCGUCGACUCCGUGAAAUCGUCCAAGUUCACUCACGGUAUUUCCUAGACGAAUUUAACGACGACGCAUCAGAGAGUUCGUGUAUGCGCUACCAACCGUUUGUACCACACAAAGAGGUCGCUGCGGAAACUCGAUCUUUCUAGAAAGUUCUACGAGUCUGUUCGAAAGAAUCAUGAAAUUUUCAACUGUUGUGUUAUCGAAAAUAGAAUUUCCGAUUGCUUUGCAUUGUUCAAUAUUUGUUAAAUGGAUACUAAGUGAAGAAAAUUUUGAAGAAAAUUUGAUUGAAAUUGCUUUUCCUUAUGUAUCAGAAAAGAUACACGCAGAGAGGCACGCGGAGAAGAGAACGAACCAAAAUAAAGGGUACAAUGAAAGAGGAGAAAAAAGAAAAAGGCAAGAACUGGUGUCGCGAGAAGCAAGUCGUCGAGAUGUCUUCAUCGUUCCACGAUUCGAAGCCGUUCGUCAUUUCCGGUGGACGAGACUCGCGACUAUCUCUUCGUCUCGCGAGUCGAUCGUCGAAUUUGUUUUGCAAUCCCGGCGCCUUGUUUAUCGUUGGUACACAUCGUGUACCGUCCGAGAGAUAGAAGACCUCGUUCCUCGAGGUUCGGGGUUUCGUCCGGUCGGCGAAAGGGAAUGCAUCGAACGGCCGGCUCCGGUCCCUUUUUCGCGUUUCCUGACCGGUAUCUGCACGUGUAAGGACAGGGCAAAGCAGAUAGCGGCGUGGCGAGCGUGUCGAUCCGUUUAUCGAGCCGUGUAUUUACGCGCGCCGUGACUCGUAGACGCGCGUUCGCCAGAUAACCGCGAUAAUAUAGAAACGCCAAUAAUGAAAUACGAUAAGCCGGGCAUAGAAUUUGUAUACGACGGCCCGUCGUGGAUUAAAGAGCUGUUAGCAUAAUCUGAACGACUCUAUACCUAUGUCCCAACAAACAGGCGCGCGGGGGCAAUUAGAAACGCUUCUCGUUCGUCGUACACCGCUGCGUGUAUAUAAUCCACGCACGCGGCCGUAUACACUGGAGGGGGAUACACAUCGAGAGGCGUACAACGGGCUCGAUACAACGAAGAUCGAGAUACGUAAGUAUUAUGCGCGAUUUGCUCGACCGCGAUAAACCUUUCGCGCGUUUCCUCUUCCCCGCGAAUAAAUUACGCGACGAUAGGUUGACACGCGUCCCGCGUCCAAUUCUUUUUUUCCCUUUUCGAAAUCGAAGAUUCCACUCGCUUUCGUUGAACGUCGCUAAUCGUCUCGUUUUACGCUUACAUCGUGCUUGUCGCUGACUCGACGGGACCCUUCUUCCCUCACCCUCCCUGGUCCGUAUCCCCUCCCUUUCCAUCGUAGUUUUAUCUCUGUCCGCCAGGAGGACGGGAACACGCGUCGUCGCAAGACUCAGGUAGGGAGCAAAGUCAAUUUCGAGGCGAGAUGCCACGGGGUUAAUGGGCCUCCUUUGUCGUAAAUUCGGGCUUUAGUGUGAAAGCUGCCUAAACCUACCUCCGUUGCUCCUUCCUCGCCAGAGGAAUCCCCCUCGCUUCGUGCCUCUGGGAGCCUUGUAACAAACAGGAUACAGCUAUCUCUCUUCCGCCCCCUCCAUCUGUCGGCAUCGCCUGCCGCCACAUCGUCGAGCGAUUUAUUAUCCGACC